rnacentral:misc_RNA from 1 species
GAUGAAGAACGCAGCGAAAUGCGAUAAGUAAUGUGAAUUGCAGAAUUCAGUGAAUCAUCGAAUCUUUGAACGCACAUUGCGCCCGCCAGUAUUCUGGCGGGCAUGCCUGUCUGAGCGUCAUUUCAACCCUCAUGCCCCUAGGGCGUGGUGUUGGGGAUCGGCCAAAGCCCGCGAGGGACGGCCGGCCCCUAAAUCUAGUGGCGGACCCGUCGUGGCCUCCUCUGCGAAGUAGUGAUAUUCCGCAUCGGAGAGCGAUGAGCCCCUGCCGUUAAACCCCCAACUUUCCAAGGUUGACCUCAGAUCAGGUAGGAAUACCCGCUGAACUUAGGCAUAUCAAUAAGCGGAGGA